rnacentral:rRNA from 1 species
ACAGAGGUCCCAAGCGUUGUUCGGAUUCACUGGGCGUAAAGGGUGCGUAGGUGGUGGGGUAAGUCGGAUGUGAAAGCUCGGAGCUCAACUCCGAAAUGGCAUUGGAAACUACCCUGCUAGAGGAUUGGAGGGGGGACUGGAAUACUUGGUGUAGCAGUGAAAUGCGUAGAUAUCAAGUGGAACACCAGUGGCGAAGGCGAGUCCCUGGACAAUACCUGACACUGAGGCACGAAAGCUAGGGGAGCAAACAGGAUUAGAUACCCUGGUAGUCCUAGCCGUAAACGGUGCACGUUUGCUGUAAAAGGAAUCGACCCCUUUUGUGGCGUAGCUAACGCGUUAAACGUGCCGCCUGGGAAGUACGGUCGCAAGAUUA